AAUGAACGCUGGCGGCGUGCUUUACACAUGCAAGUCGAGCGAGGCGGCCCGCAAGGGCCAGUCGAGCGGCGAACGGGUGAGUAACGCGUGGAUUAUCUGCCCUGAGGUGGGGGAUAACCCGGGGAAACUCGGGCUAAUACCGCAUAGGACCGUGAGGUCAAAGGGGGGUCGCAAGAUCUCUCGCCAUUGGAGGAGUCCGCGUUCGACUAGCUAGUUGGUAGGGUAAUGGCCUACCAAGGCGACGAUCGAUAGCCGGCCUGAGAGGGUGAUCGGCCACACUGGAACUGAGACACGGUCCAGACUCCUACGGGAGGCAGCAGUGGGGAAUUUUGCGCAAUGGGCUAACGCCUGACGCAGCAACGCCGCGUGGAGGAUGAAGGUCUUUGGAUUGUAAACUCCU
rnacentral:rRNA from 1 species